rnacentral:rRNA from 1 species
AUUGAACGCUGGCGGCAGGCCUAACACAUGCAAGUCGAACGAGUGGCGGACGGGUGAGUAAUGUCUGGGAAACUGCCUGAUGGAGGGGGAUAACUACUGGAAACGGUAGCUAAUACCGCAUACCCUCAGAUGUGCCCAGAUGGGAUUAGCUUGUUGUUGGGGUAACGGCUCACAAAGGCGACGAUCCCUAGCUGGUCUGAGAGGAUGACCAGCCACACUGGAACUGGGACAGGGUCCAGAAUCCGACGGGAGGCAGCAGUGGGGAAUAUUGCACAAGGGGCGCAAGCCUGAUGCAGCCAUGCCGCGUGGAUGAAGACGGCCUUCGGGUGGUAAAGUACUGUCAGCGGGGAGGCGUUACCCGCAGAAGAAGCACCGGCUAACUCCGUGCCAGCAGCAGCGGUAAUUC